GAUUCGUCACACUAUCAUUAACUGAAUCCAUAGGUUAAUGAGGCGAACCGGGGGAACUGAAACAUCUAAGUACCCCGAGGAAAAGAAAUCAACCGAGAUUCCCCCAGUAGCGGCGAGCGAACGGGGAGGAGCCCAGAGCCUGAAUCAGCAUGUGUGUUAGUGGAAGCGUCUGGAAAGGCGCGCGAUACAGGGUGACAGCCCCGUACACAAAAGCGCAUGUGCUGUGAGCUCGAUGAGUAGGGCGGGACACGUGGUAUCCUGUCUGAAUAUGGGGGGACCAUCCUCCAAGGCUAAAUACUCCUGACUGACCGAUAGUGAACCAGUACCGUGAGGGAAAGGCGAAAAGAACCCCGGCGAGGGGAGUGAAAAAGAACCUGAAACCGUGUACGUACAAGCAGUGGGAGCACCCUUCGGGGUGUGACUGCGUACCUUUUGUAUAAUGGGUCAGCGACUUAUAUUCUGUAGCAAGGUUAACCGUAUAGGGGAGCCGGAGGGAAACCGAGUCUUAACCGGGCGUUAAGUUGCAGGGUAUAGACCCGAAACCCGGUGAUCUAGCCAUGGGCAGGUUGAAGGUUGGGUAACACUAACUGGAGGACCGAACCGACUAAUGUUGAAAAAUUAGCGGAUGACCUGUGGCUGGGGGUGAAAGGCCAAUCAAACCGGGAGAUAGCUGGUUCUCCCCGAAAGCUAUUUAGGUAGCGCCUCGUGAAUUCAUCUCCGGGGGUAGAGCACUGUUUCGGCUAGGGGGCCAUCCCGGCUUACCAACCCGAUGCAAACUGCGAAUACCGGAGAAUGUUAUCACGGGAGACACACGGCGGGUGCUAACGUCCGUCGUGAAGAGGGAAACAACCCAGACCGCCAGCUAAGGUCCCAAAGUCAUGGUUAAGUGGGAAACGAUGUGGGAAGGCCCAGACAGCCAGGAUGUUGGCUUAGAAGCAGCCAUCAUUUAAAGAAAGCGUAAUAGCUCACUGGUCGAGUCGGCCUGCGCGGAAGAUGUAACGGGGCUAAACCAUGCACCGAAGCUGCGGCAGCGAACGUAUCACCCAAGACAACUUUACGGAGUUGACGAUUGACGGAGCGAAGCGACGUCAAAGCGUUCAUUAAAGUCGAGUUGGCUUAGGGAUACGUUCGUUGGGUAGGGGAGCGUUCUGUAAGCCUGUGAAGGUGUGUCGUGAGGCAUGCUGGAGGUAUCAGAAGUGCGAAUGCUGACAUAAGUAACGAUAAAGCGGGUGAAAAGCCCGCUCGCCGGAAGACCAAGGGUUCCUGUCCAACGUUAAUCGGGGCAGGGUGAGUCGACCCCUAAGGCGAGGCCGAAAGGCGUAGUCGAUGGGAAACGGGUUAAUAUUCCCGUACUUGGUGUUACUGCGAAGGGGGGACGGAGAAGGCUAUGUUGGCCGGGCGACGGUUGUCCCGGUUUAAGCGUGUAGGUGUGUGUUCCAGGUAAAUCCGGUUCACUUUAACACUGAGGCGUGACGACGAGGCACUACGGUGCUGAAGCAACAAAUGCCCUGCUUCCAGGAAAAGCCUCUAAGCAUCAGGUAACACGAAAUCGUACCCCAAACCGACACAGGUGGUCAGGUAGAGAAUACCAAGGCGCUUGAGAGAACUCGGGUGAAGGAACUAGGCAAAAUGGUGCCGUAACUUCGGGAGAAGGCACGCUGACACGUAGGUGAAGUGAUUUACUCAUGGAGCUGAAGUCAGUCGAAGAUACCAGCUGGCUGCAACUGUUUAUUAAAAACACAGCACUGUGCAAACACGAAAGUGGACGUAUACGGUGUGACGCCUGCCCGGUGCCGGAAGGUUAAUUGAUGGGGUCAGCGCAAGCGAAGCUCCUGAUCGAAGCCCCGGUAAACGGCGGCCGUAACUAUAACGGUCCUAAGGUAGCGAAAUUCCUUGUCGGGUAAGUUCCGACCUGCACGAAUGGCGUAAUGAUGGCCAGGCUGUCUCCACCCGAGACUCAGUGAAAUUGAACUCGCUGUGAAGAUGCAGUGUACCCGCGGCAAGACGGAAAGACCCCGUGAACCUUUACUAUAGCUUGACACUGAACAUUGAGCCUUGAUGUGUAGGAUAGGUGGGAGGCUUUGAAGUGUGGACGCCAGUCUGCAUGGAGCCGACCUUGAAAUACCACCCUUUAAUGUUUGAUGUUCUAACGUGGACCCGUAAUCCGGGUUGCGGACAGUGUCUGGUGGGUAGUUUGACUGGGGCGGUCUCCUCCUAAAGAGUAACGGAGGAGCACGAAGGUUGGCUAAUCCUGGUCGGACAUCAGGAGGUUAGUGCAAUGGCAUAAGCCAGCUUGACUGCGAGCGUGACGGCGCGAGCAGGUGCGAAAGCAGGUCAUAGUGAUCCGGUGGUUCUGAAUGGAAGGGCCAUCGCUCAACGGAUAAAAGGUACUCCGGGGAUAACAGGCUGAUACCGCCCAAGAGUUCAUAUCGACGGCGGUGUUUGGCACCUCGAUGUCGGCUCAUCACAUCCUGGGGCUGAAGUAGGUCCCAAGGGUAUGGCUGUUCGCCAUUUAAAGUGGUACGCGAGCUGGGUUUAGAACGUCGUGAGACAGUUCGGUCCCUAUCUGCCGUGGGCGCUGGAGAACUGAGGGGGGCUGCUCCUAGUACGAGAGGACCGGAGUGGACGCAUCACUGGUGUUCGGGUUGUCAUGCCAAUGGCACUGCCCGGUAGCUAAAUGCGGAAGAGAUAAGUGCUGAAAGCAUCUAAGCACGAAACUUGCCCCGA
rnacentral:rRNA from 1 species